rnacentral:tRNA from 1 species
AGGGAUGUGGCGCAGCUUGGUAGCGCGUUUGUUUUGGGUACAAAAUGUCACGGGUUCCUAUCCUGUCAUCCCGG